CCGCGUGAGUGAAGAAAGGGUUUCGGCUCGUAAAACUCUGUUGUUAAAGAAGAACAUAUCUGAGAGUAACUGUUCAGGUAUUGACGGUAUUUAACCAGAAAGCCACGGCUAACUACGUGCCAGCAGCCGCGGUAAUACGUAGGUGGCAAGCGUUGUCCGGAUUUAUUGGGCGUAAAGCGAGCGCAGGCGGUUUUUUAAGUCUGAUGUGAAAGCCUUCGGCUCAACCGAAGAAGUGCAUCGGAAACUGGGAAACUUGAGUGCAGAAGAGGACAGUGGAACUCCAUGUGUAGCGGUGAAAUGCGUAGAUAUAUGGAAGAACACCAGUGGCGAAGGCGGCUGUCUGGUCUGUAACUGACGCUGAGGCUCGAAAGUAUGGGUAGCAAACAGGAUUAGAUACCCUGGUAGUCCAUACCGUAAACGAUGAAUGCUAAGUGUUGGAGGGUUUCCGCCCUUCAGUGCUGCAGCUAACGCAUUAAGCAUUCCGCCUGGGGAGUACGGCCGCAAGGCUGAAACUCAAAGGAAUUGACGGGGGCCCGCACAAGCGGUGGAGCAUGUGGUUUAAUUCGAAGCUACGCGAAGAACCUUACCAGGUCUUGACAUACUAUGCAAAUCUAAGAGAUUAGACGUUCCCUUCGGGGACAUGGAUACAGGUGGUGCAUGGUUGUCGUCAGCUCGUGUCGUGAGAUGUUGGGUUAAGUCCCGCAACGAGCGCAACCCUUAUUAUCAGUUGCCAGCAUUAAGUUGGGCACUCUGGUGAGACUGCCGGUGACAAACCGGAGGAAGGUGGGGAUGACGUCAAAUCAUCAUGCCCCUUAUGACCUGGGCUACACACGUGCUACAAUGGAUGGUACAACGAGUUGCGAACUCGCGAGAGUAAGCUAAUCUCUUAAAGCCAUUCUCAGUUCGGAUUGUAGGCUGCAACUCGCCUACAUGAAGUCGGAAUCGCUAGUAA
rnacentral:rRNA from 1 species